rnacentral:rRNA from 1 species
CGAGCGAGCUUGCCUAGAUGAUUUUAGUGCUUGCACUAAAUGAAACUAGAUACAAGCGAGCGGCGGACGGGUGAGUAACACGUGGGUAACCUGCCCAAGAGACUGGGAUAACACCUGGAAACAGAUGCUAAUACCGGAUAACAACACUAGACGCAUGUCUAGAGUUUGAAAGAUGGUUCUGCUAUCACUCUUGGAUGGACCUGCGGUGCAUUAGCUAGUUGGUAAGGUAACGGCUUACCAAGGCAAUGAUGCAUAGCCGAGUUGAGAGACUGAUCGGCCACAUUGGGACUGAGACACGGCCCAAACUCCUACGGGAGGCAGCAGUAGGGAAUCUUCCACAAUGGACGAAAGUCUGAUGGAGCAACGCCGCGUGAGUGAAGAAGGGUUUCGGCUCGUAAAGCUCUGUUGGUAGUGAAGAAAGAUAGAGGUAGUAACUGGCCUUUAUUUGACGGUAAUUACUUAGAAAGUCACGGCUAACUACGUGCCAGCAGCCGCGGUAAUACGUAGGUGGCAAGCGUUGUCCGGAUUUAUUGGGCGUAAAGCGAGUGCAGGCGGUUCAAUAAGUCUGAUGUGAAAGCCUUCGGCUCAACCGGAGAAUUGCAUCAGAAACUGUUGAACUUGAGUGCAGAAGAGGAGAGUGGAACUCCAUGUGUAGCGGUGGAAUGCGUAGAUAUAUGGAAGAACACCAGUGGCGAAGGCGGCUCUCUGGUCUGCAACUGACGCUGAGGCUCGAAAGCAUGGGUAGCGAACAGGAUUAGAUACCCUGGUAGUCCAUGCCGUAAACGAUGAGUGCUAAGUGUUGGGAGGUUUCCGCCUCUC